UAGCAUAUCAAUAAGCGGAGGAAAAGAAACUAACAAGGAUUCCCCUAGUAACUGCGAGUGAAGCGGGAAAAGCUCAAAUUUAAAAUCUGGCAGUCUUUGGCUGUCCGAGUUGUAAUCUAGAGAAGUGUUAUCCGCGCUGGACCGUGUACAAGUCUCCUGGAAUGGAGCGUCAUAGAGGGUGAGAAUCCCGUCUUUGACACGGACUACCAGGGCUUUGUGAUGCGCUCUCAAAGAGUCGAGUUGUUUGGGAAUGCAGCUCAAAAUGGGUGGUAAAUUCCAUCUAAAGCUAAAUAUUGGCGAGAGACCGAUAGCGAACAAGUACCGUGAGGGAAAGAUGAAAAGAACUUUGGAAAGAGAGUUAAACAGUACGUGAAAUUGCUGAAAGGGAAACGCUUGAAGUCAGUCGCGUCGUCCAGGGAUCAACCUUGCUUUUGCUUGGUGCACUUUCUGGUUGACGGGUCAGCAUCAAUUUUGACCAUUGGAAAAAUAUCAAGGGAAUGUGACAUCUUUGGAUGUGUUAUAGCCCUUGGUUGUAUACGAUGGUUGGGAUUGAGGAACUCAGCACGCCGCAAGGCCGGGUUUUUAACCACGUACGUGCUUAGGAUGCUGGCAUAAUGGCUUUAAUCGACCCGUCUUGAAACACGGACCAAGGAGUCUAACAUGCCUGCGAGUGUUUGGGUGGAAAACUCGAGCGCGUAAUGAAAGUGAAAGUUGAGAUCCCUGUCGUGGGGAGCAUCGACGCCCGGACCAGACCUUUUGUGACGGUUCCGCGGUAGAGCAUGUAUGUUGGGACCCGAAAGAUGGUGAACUAUGCCUGAAUAGGGUGAAGCCAGAGGAAACUCUGGUGGAGGCUCGUAGCGAUUCUGACGUGCAAAUCGAUCGUCAAAUUUGGGUAUAGGGGCGAAAGACUAAUCGAACCAU
rnacentral:rRNA from 1 species